ACCAAAUCUUUCCAAGGACAUACGAAUGAAGUAAACGCUAUUAAGUGGGAUCCUUAGGGUAAUCUUUUGGCUUCCUGUUCUGACGAUAUGACGCUCAAGAUGUGGUCCAUGAAACAAGACACUUGUGUUCAUGAUUCGCAAGCACACAACAAGGAAAUCUACACCCAAAAAUGGAGUUCUACCGGCCUUGGAACAAAAAACCCAAACAUGAAUCUGAUUUUGGCUAGCGCUUCGUUUGACCUGACCGUUCGAUUGUGGGACGUUGAACUGGUAUAUUUUCUGUUUUGAC